rnacentral:rRNA from 1 species
GACGUAGGGCGCGAGCGUUGUUCGGAUUCAUUGGGCGUAAAGGGUGUGUAGGUGGCGCGCUAAGUCGGGUGUGAAAUUUCGGAGCUUAACUCCGAAACUGCAUUCGAUACUGGCGUGCUUGAGGACUGGAGAGGAGACUGGAAUUCAUGGUGUAGCAGUGAAAUGCGUAGAGAUCAUGAGGAAGACCAGUGGCGAAGGCGGGCCUCUGGACAGUUCCUGACACUGAGACACGAAGGCCAGGGGAGCAAACGGG